GACGAACGCUGGCGGCGUGCUUAACACAUGCAAGUCGAACGGAAAGGCCCUGCUUUCGUGGUGUGCGCGAGGGGCGAACGGGUGUGUCACACGUGUGUACCCUGCCCUUGACUUUGGUAUGACUUCGGGACACUGGGGCUUAUACCGGAUAGGCGCUCCUGCUGCGGUGUGGGGGUUGGAAAGUUUCGGCGGUUGGGGAUGGACUCGCGGUUUAUCCGUUUGUUGGUGGGGUAGUGGUUUACCAAGGCCUUGACGGGUCGCCGGCCUGAGGGGGUGCCCGGCCACAUUGGGACUGAGAUACGGAGCAGACUCCGACGGGAGGCAGCAGUGGGGAAUAUUGCACAAUGGGAGGAAGCCUGAUGCAGCAACGCCGCGUGCGGGAUGACGGCCUUCGGGUUGUAAACCGCUUGCGCCUGUGACGAAGCGUGAGUGACGGUAAUGGGUAAAGAAGCACCGGCUAACUACGUG
rnacentral:rRNA from 1 species